UGCAGAAGGCUGUCCCCUGCAAGGACUAGAAGUUGAGCCAAGGUACGGAGGACUUAUAGUAGCAGAUGGCCAGAACCAGGUACGAUCGCAGAACUCCGCCGCACAUCAUGGCCCUCGUCUUCUGUUCGGAUGAAGCUGUGUUGUGUUUCCGUGGAUUAUCGAUCCUUCCCUCAAAUACCGAUUACCGGGACGUGCCCGGUCCCCGUUCACUGGGAAAUCGGGUUGCUCAAAAGAUGACGAAGGCUACGAAUGUCUCUUGUCUUUUCUGUUUGAUUUCGCAAAACACAGUAGGAUUUAUGUGGGACGACGUUUGCUUCUCUAUUCCUGGAGACAGUCGCUGUCUUAAACCGAGCUGACCACAGGAUGUCACCAGUGUUCCAUGAAAAUCCCCUUGAAAGGGCAUUUACCUGGUCAUGCAAAACCGGUUUCUUAAAGAAGAAAGGUCAGCGCACAUACAUGCGGUCACACCUACGACUUCAAAUAAAAUCUGGUUUUGCAGAGGCAGCCCUGGCUUUAUCACGCACAAUCAAAGCAGAUCGGAACUGAAGUUGUCCUUGAAGAAAAGGUGCCAUCGACAAGUAAAGCCACUAAACUUAACAGCCCAGUGCUGCUAUUUAAUUGCCCCUGAAGAGAAGUCACCCUGAGGUGGAGUUAAUAACCAAUACCAGAUCUUUUUUUUUUUUUCCGCUUUAAUUUUCUUUGAAAGCUUCAUGCUCAAGCCAUGUGGUGACCAAUAUCUAACGGAAUGAUAUGCUGCUCAACUACCUUCCUUGCAUGGACAUAUUUAGCAAAUCCCAAAAGGAGAGACUAAAAAGAUAAAGGGGGCAUGAGCAGACAUCUAAACCUACUGAGGGAAAGAAGUUUUAAAACAGAAAUUGGUGGGGCGCCUGGGUGGCUCAGUCCGUUAGGCGUCCGACUUCAGCUCACGUGGUGAUCUCCAAGGUCCGUGGGUUCGAGCCCCACGUCGGGCUCUGUGCUGACAGCUCAGAGCCCGGAGCCUGCCUCGGAUUCUGCGUCUCCCUCUCUCUCUCGCUGCCUCUCCCCCACUCCUGCUCUGUCUCUCUCUCAAAAAUAAGCAUUAAAAAAAUUAAAAAUAAAAUACAAUAAAAUUUUAAAAAUAAACAAAACAGAAAUUAGUUAGAUAAUGAGCCCGGUCCCCUCUUGCACUAUGACAGGGGCUCCCACAGCCACGGUACAAAAGAGAGACUGUGGACAAAGUGUUUAAGGGGCCAUUCCCAGGGGAGAACACGGCCGGAAGCCAAGGGCCCAUCAGUCACCGACAAUUAUGGAGGCGAAGUUGCAGACUGCGUUUGUAAAACAUUUCUUCGGUCUCUUCAUAAAUUGAUAGGCUGCAAAGUUCUCUAUGAAAAAAAAACAAAAAACCAGAGUGACUUUUCAAAGUUCUCUAUGAAAAAUACGCAGGUCAAGCCAGCCAAAGAGCAAGGCAGCUUGACAGCUUCCUUCCUGGCCUGGGUGAACCCCGUUCCAGAAGAUUCCAGUUGGUUUAUGUUAUCAAAGCUUCACGAGUUGAGACAAGAAGCGUACUGCUUUCAUCAGCCCCUGGUGUUAUCCGAGCCCUCGCCUUUGCGGAAACCUAUUCGUUAUAGGCAAACAGUCAGAGAGCCCACACUGGUUCGUCUUCGGGACAGUGUCUCAAGGGAGUUUGGAUGGAGGCCGUUUGCCCAUUCUUUCAUUUGUCCAUCCGUGUGUCCAAAUCCGAACUUCUGUUAUUUUUAAAAACUUAAGGCAAACAAUGCUUUUGAUGAUAUGGAGGCCGAUGUGUGCUGAAUUGCCCCUCCCAUAUGUUGAAUUUCUAACCCCCGGUGUCUUGGAAUAUGACGGUAUUUGGAGAGGGAGUCUUUCAAAAGGAAAUUAAGUUCAAAUGAGGUCAUAUGGAUGGGCCCUAAUCCAGUAUGACUAGUGUCCUGAUAUGAAGAGGAGAUUGGGACCCAGACACGUGUGGAGGGAAGGAAGACCGUGUGACCACACAGGGAGAGAACGGCUAUCUGCAGCCGAGGAGAGAAUCUUCAGAAGAAACCAACCCGACCCACACCUCGAUCUCGAACUUCCAGCCUCCAGGGUUUGUAGGAAAAUAAAUUUCUGUUGUUCAAGCCACCCAGUCCGUGGUUCUUUGUUAUGGGAACCCUAGCACAGUAGUACAGAGGCUAAAAUAUCUCAGCUUGGCAAUACAAGUCAUGUAAUACUAAUCACUCUCUUGGGUUAAACACUGUCUUAAAUAAUAACAGCUGACACCAACUGAGAACUUGCUGAGUAUGAGUCGGCUCAGUGACUGGAGAAUCACCCCAACAUUGGUGAACCCAUAAUUCACACAGAAUCAGAGAACUGGGGGGAUGGAUGGGCCUCAUAAACCCUCUGGCCCAUCUAAUUUAACUCAUGACUCCGUUAGACUCAUAGUAGUCUGGACCGAUGGAGCAUGUGAGUCCCCACCAUCUCAGAGGGAGAUUCCCCGCAGUGCCCUCAGGGCUCACUCUGCUCAGCAAACCCGAGGUGCUCCCCAGGAGUGUGGGAACUCCUUCGGCUGCUUGGAAACUCUCCCCAGUGCUUUGUACUUGAGUUUGUAACUUGCCACGUGUAUGCCGUUAGUGGCUGGACCAACCUAGAGGCUAGCUUGCCUCAGUCCAGGGUUCUUUCCACUACGACACACUGACUCCUACAAACGCCUGAUCUAUUUAAAAAAAGAAAAGAAAAGAAAAAGAAAAGAAAAAAGAAAGACUGAAAGAUGAUUGUUCUCCCCACAAAGAUAUUUGCAACCCUAAGAAAAGAUUCAUCGUGGAGACUCCAUUAAAUGGGAAGGUCCCCUCGUAUACUGGAAAUAUGAUUGGCUUUAUAGAAAUCCAACUGACAACUCUUUAAAACUCACCUAUUUUGUAAAAUGAAAGGGAGCACACAAGGACUCAGAACAUACCGAGGGCAGUCAACAAUCACACCCCAGGAAGGUCAGCUAAGGGUAGGUGAGGAAGGGAUAACGCUUCACUACCCAAGCACUGCGUGAAACACUCCAUGUGCAUGAUGCCACUGAAUCCUUUUCUCAACCUUGUGAGGUAGGCAUGAUGUUUCUCCCCAUUUCCCAGGUCAAGAAACGGAGGCACAGGAAGAUUAAGUAACUUGCUCAAGGUCGGGUUCCUCCCUGAAACAGGGGACGUUAGCAUCACAAGAAAACAGGGACGUUAGCUUGAACCUGAACUGGAAAUGAAAAAAUAAAAACCAGAAGCUAGACAUUCACUGACUCAAAAAUAGAGCACACAUAUUGACCUUCUGGUUUUGAAAUCGUUUAAUAACUGGAAACUAGUUUCAAACUUGAGUUUGGCACACAGUUUUGAGGGGUCAGUUGAGAGGAAUACAAGGCUUAUUUUAAAAAGGGAGUUGCUACAUUUUCAAGGCAAUGCUUUCAGCCUGAGUGGGGAGGAAAUAGGUAUGAAGGAGGUGUAGUUUCAACACUUUAUAAUCAACGUACGUAUACAGGAAAAUAUAAAAGACAAUCCUUAUAGCUUGACGAGUGUACAACGUUAAAAACAUCCUUUGUUAAGGAUUAGGGAAAAUCUUCAGGUCGUUAUUUGUUCAACUCAACCAUUUAAUUACGUGAAUGUCUUUUUCAAAAUACCCUACUACAGUCUCAGAGGAUACGUGUGAAUGUUCCAUGCCAUGUGUUCCUUACAAUAAUAAUAAGCAAAAAGUAAAUACAAUUUGGUGUUUAAAUAGCGUUCCUCUUUUCUUUGGCCACCCGGGUCUUCAUUUCGUUUAAUUAAUCUGUUCAUUGCUGGUGCGUACGACCGCUUUGCAAUGCUUUGGGAAGCUUUGAUUUCCUGGCGUACAAAGGAACGAUCCGUGUGGUUUGAUACUGGAUGGUGUGGUUGCACGUGGGUCUGCGCGCAUUCUGGAAACGCUCUUCCCCGGGCCUGUGUGAUAAGAGAUUUCAUGAGCUGUUAGGGGCUUCCGCCCGGGUGAAGCGGCCGCGGUGUAUUUCUUUCCAUGCUGGAUUCACCGGCUUAGAGAGACAGCACAAAGCACAAUGCGAGGUAACCCCGCCGGAUGUCCGGCCCCCUUUUGCGCUUACGGGAUGUCAACUUCUGUAAGUGAACAUUUAAGUCUGGUCGCUUGCUCGGUUUUCUGUGCUGGUUUUAAUACACAGGGCAGCUACCACUGAGUAAGCCCUUGCCCCUCUGUGUGUGUGCGUGUGUGUGUGUGCGCGCGCGUGUGUGUCCACGUUUCCUUCCACGGCUGCCCCCGCAUCAGUGCACUCCUUGGCCAUCCCCUGGUAGAGGAAUCGUAGGGCUGGGGGGAGAGGGGUGGAGGAUGGGGGGGGGGCAGGCAGGAAUGACUCCCCACCUUUGAUGCUUUUUCCAGAGCGAUGCUCCGACUAAUCAGCAGUGGCCACUAAUGAAGAGCGAGGCUGGGUCUCUCCUUUUCCGGAGACUGAGCCCAUUACCCUCUUGGUCCCCACUAGCCUGCGGGCGCCCAGCCUGCUUCCCGAAUGGAUGACUUCUGGCUCACUGUGCGGCUCCCAGCCCUGGUGCCAGUGGCCGUGAAUAACCUUGCUUUGGUGCCUAUUUAUUUUAUUUCGAAUUUCUCCACCCGGGUUCUUUCCACCUCCACCAGCACCCCCCUUCACCGGCCCCAUGUGGUGAUGUUUCUUGAAAUGUUAGAUUCUUUCUUCCUCUGUCCCCCCUCCAGCUCUGGAAGCAUUUUGUUUCUGUGCUGCUUUGUGAGGCUGGUGCUGAGUCCAGAUCCUUGGGGCUUUAAAGUUGAAUUAAUUAUUAAACAGGAAGGGAGCGGUACUUUCAGCAGGCGCCAAGUAACUAUACUUAAACUACAACCUGGCACUGUUUUUCCCACCCUGGUGCUGUGGUUUGCUGAAGGCAACUGGAGAUUUUUAUUCUAGUUUUAAUCAAGCAUCUCUGUAAGUUUUCAGGCAGUUAAGAUUUGGCAGCGAAUGGCUGGGAAGUCAGUCUUCAUCACCUCCUGACCAUUUUGGCCAAAAGAAAAAAAAAUUUUUUUUUUUUUUUUUUUUCAAAUCAGAAGUACUUUGCCAGUUCAUAAAUCAACCUGAAAUUGCCCGCUCCCUACAGUUCACCUUUCCUGAGAACAGGGUGGGCUUUUCUCUCAAAUGCGUGUGUGUGUGCGCGCGCAUACGAGACUUCUGUCAAUUAGUUCCCAUUUGUACAGAGUGAUGCUUUUCAGAGAAAACCACCAGAACAUUGACCUUGUUGCCUUGUGAUUAUUAUAUCCAUUGCUUUAAUCUGGGGGCUAAGUUGAUAUCAAACCGCGUAUUGAAAACUGCCAAUGAAGACGUGCCGUGGGAUUUCUUAAUUUCCUGAAUCCAGGCGUUGAUACUUUUGAGAAAUCCACAGCCCGCCGGAGUUGCUGGGCCCACUUGGCCCAGACACUGGGCAUGGGUGUUCUGUCCCAGCUACGUGAGUGAGGCAGUGCCAGUGUUUUCUAGAGAAACCCAAGCCUAUAUCAAAGGUAUCAAAGUAACAGCCUGAAAGGGCCAGCUGACCCCAUGCCGGGCUCCCCGUUUGAUUUCCACGGGGCUUCUGGAGUGUGGUGGCCGCCCUUUCCCGGUCUCAGCUGACUGGCUUUCCACAGGAAGCUGGAUAGGAAGUGUGAUCAGUCUGCUCCAUUAAGUCUCCCCUGUGGCUUGAGCAGCGGUGAGGGCUGCGGGGUGGGAGAGAGGAAGAGCUCUCUGGGUGUAGCUGGGUGCGUAGGCAGGAGCGUGAAGCAUCCUCAAGAGGCAGGGGAACAAAGAUUUGGUUGAAAAUGUAGAUUCAUGCAUAUACAUUUGGAACAGGGCAGAAAAACCGUAAGCCCAACACAUACAACCCUCCUGCUCUCCUCCGCGCUGGCUUGGGACGAGUGUGCACGUUCACGACUGAGCAAGGUAGAGCCUUCCCACCCUUCGUGGUGUGGGGGGAAACCUUCACCAUGCACGUCCUCUCUACCUAAGAACUCGGUAAAAAUGACGGAUGUUCUGUGAGCCUUGCUCUCCAGUAUUCUUUUUAAAUGCUGAUUUCCCUUUAGAGAUGUUUACCUACAUACUUAUUUAUUUGGGCUAACAAUUCUUAUUUUAAAAAACACAGAAAAUUCCCACCUCGUGUAUAUUGUCUACCUCAUGACUGUAUACUUUCCCUCGGCCAUUCAGUUACCAAAUUGAAUUAUGGUGAGCAAAAAUUAUGGUCCAUGGGCUUAAUUCAAAGGAUUAGUUAGAAGAAGCCAGAGAAAUUCACACUUCCAAGAAUUUUUUUUUUUAAUAUGAAAUUUAUGGCCAAAUUGGUUUCCAUACAACACCCAGUGCUCAUCCCAACAGGUGCCCUCCUCAAUGCCCAUGACCCUCUUUCCCCUCCCUCCCACCCCCCAUCAACCCUCAGUUUAUCCUCAGUGUUUAAGAGUCUCUUAUGGUUUGCCUGCCUCCCUCUCUAACAUUUUUUUUCUCCUUCCCCUCCCCCAUGGUCUUCUGUUAAGUUUCUCAGGAUCCACAUAACACACUUCCAAGAAUUUAAGUAAACUCAAAAUCUCAGAAGCUUUCCUAUAUUUCCCCGAGUCGCCACCUUUCCCACGGACCGACCUUUCCUUGCUAUGUCACCUCGUGACACCCCCGUGCUUACGCUGCCGUCAGGUUCCCUCUCUCGUGUUGGGUCCUGUUGUUUAGGAUCCUAUAAAUGGCCACACUGUAAUCAUCAGGCUUCUAAGUCCAGUAAUUAAUUGAAAACCUAGAUGAAAAAUGACGUGCUCCUCAUUGCACAAUAUUUGGAAAAUAUACUUAAACAGACGACUUUGCACAAUUUUGAACUGUUCUUCAUGUCUCUCUCUCUCUCUCUCUCUCUCCCUCUCUUUUCCCCAGAAAACAUCAUGAGCCGAUUUUAAAAUUAAAUGAUCAGGUUUCUGGUCUUUGACGAAGCAAAGAUCAUAGUCCUUUUUUGCUUGAAAAUGGGUUGAUACUCUCCUCCCUCACCCGUGGAGAGUUUGCAAUACAAAAAUUUCAAAAAUACUUCAUUUAAAAUAACCUCUCAGGGGCUGCCCUAAGUCUCUGCCGUUUACACAUUACAGCCCACUCGAAAAAGUGCGUUCGCUUAGUUAGAAAGGAAAACUGGCCAACGAUAAUAACAAGACCGUAAACGAAAACAAUAGAAAGAGUACGGAGGAUACAAAACACGCAUGCAUUGCUUUUUAAACACCUUUUAUUCCCCGUCGCUUUGAAGAUAACUCUAAAAAUAGUGUAAACACCGCUAGUUUCCCCACGACGUUCUCCCCUGACUGCCAAAAAGAAAUAGCUAGGAAAUGUUGUGUUUCUGUCUGAUUUGUGUCAACUCUGCUCCCAGAGAAUAAUGAGCCAUUCCUGUCGUUAUGAGGAAGAUUUACUUUGAAAGGGGUCGCCUGGGCAUUCGUCACCCGUCCUUACUUGCUAUUAGGAACUGCCAGCGCCUGGCGGGGCGGGCUUCUCCGCCGAGUGACGGGCUCCGGUUCUUGGGGGAGUCCAGCCGCCUGCCACGUGGUGGGGGAUCUCUGCAGGUGUAUGGGCCGCAGCCCUAGGCAAGGCUGUCCCGGCCUUCCCCCAAAGGUCUCGGAGCCCUUCUGCAGCCCAGAUGGUUCCAAUUUGAGGCCUACACUCGGUGCUGGAGCUGUAUUGAGUUUCUUCCCCGAAACCAACAAAACCUGCUUCAGCAUUUUGCUUGGAUUAAAAUAUUUGUCCCUUUUUUCACAGGGCAGAAGGAGGACUCCUGAAACCUCCCGAAGGAAGGAAAUCAUUACAGGGCCCUACAGAAGUAGGUCAUGUGCUACAGCUGCUCAUAGUUUAAGAGGAAGAAACAUAGGACCUCAAACCUGGAACGCAACUCUUUCAAAAUGCUUGAGAACAGCCCAAGAAAAACAUCCUCCCGAGGCUUAUCUAAUAACCAUGAUCUAUAAUCGUCUCAAUGUGUGCUCGCGUUUCCUUCGAAGUUUGCGCCCACUUCCCAGAGCUAACGAGACGCUGAAACCGAACACAGAAAAAUUUAAUGAAGGGGAUUUAAUAGUUUGUGUUACAGCUAAUAUGGUCCAUUAGAAGCUGUCAUUUUCAUA
rnacentral:lncRNA from 1 species